AAGGACUUAGGAUUACUAGACCUAGGGCCUUCAAAGCCCUCAGCGGGAGUGAAAGCCUCUCAGCCCUUG
rnacentral:tRNA from 1 species